UCAUUAUUGUAUAAUGGAGGUGCUGAGGUUGUCGCUGACUUUUGAAAGGGUCGUGCACGCCUCGGUACUCUCACAUAUAAUCCAUCUCACUGCUUUGUGCAUCACCGCGUGGGGACCCCUUUUGGCUAGUUCUGAGGGGGGUUUUCACGUUUUUACAUACACACAUCAUUUCUAUGCAUAA
rnacentral:misc_RNA from 1 species